GGGGGGAGGAGGAGGAGGAGGAGGAGGAGAACAGGCGGGCGGGGGAGGCCGGAGCCACCAGCGGAGCUGAGGGAGCGUCGAGGGGUGCGGCGGGAGGAAGGGGCGGGGGACGGAGGGCGGAGGCCGCGCCCAGCGCCGCCCGUGGGGGUGACCGGGGCUCGGCGACCCCCGCGCGGGGGGGCGGAACGGGACGGGCCGUCCGCAGGUGAGGCGGCGGUGGCCCCUCGGGGGAGGCUCCCUUAGCCAGCCGGAGGAGCGGCGUUGGCGGCACGGCCCCGGCUCCGGUCCCGGUCCCGGUCCCAGCGGCCCCGUGCCCACCCGAGCACCUCCUCACCGCGGCCCCUCGGCUCCCCGCACCGGGGGCUCCCGCCCGUGUCGGCGGCCCCGGGCGUAGCGGUCGGGCCGGGCUCGGUGCGUGCAGAGGGGCAGCCGCCAGACGCAGCCCGCUGCCGGAGCCGGGCGGGCGGGAGCGGCUCCGGGCGCCGCGGCUGCCCCUCGCGCCCUCGGCGGCGGCUGGCCCGGGGCGCGCUGGCGGGAAGGCGGGAGCCGUGUUCCGGCCCUACGCCCGUCCUAGCCCCGCGCCUCUGCUGAACGCAGGUUCGCCUUCUGCUUUUAGUGCCCCCGGCGGAUCCAGCGCACGGAGGGCAUAACUUUAACCCGACUUGUGGUUCUGGCAAGCACCGAAAUGCCCGUUCUCUUUUGUCUCCGUGAAUAGAAGUGAUGAGCGUCUUUGCGAUUUCCAGUGAUGCUAAGGUGUCUUAGUUCUUUUGCAUCUUUGAUUUCAUUUUUUCCCCCUAACAAAUACCAGUGUUUUCUAGGGUUUAGUUAUUAAAAUUAUUUAGUUAUUAUGAAUAGUUAUUUAAAAUGUAUGUGCAAAAUAAAUGGGUAUCUUCUUUAUAAAUCUCUAGACUUCUAGGUAUAAAAAGGUAAAGAAUUUUAGAAAUACAUAUAUAUCUUCUUUAUAUAUUUCAGAUCUUGCUCUCACACAUUUCAGGGUUUUUUUACUGUGAAUCUCAGUUAUUUGAUGCUAUGCAUACAACCUCUUCCUUGAUCAGUAUGGCGUCUGAGACGGGGGCAUCCACCGGUAGUUCAUGGUGUCAGUAAUGCAGAAGAGAGGAGCCAGUCAAUGAAAAAAAUUGGUCAAUUGUUCUAAAAUACUACUUCAGGAAAAAGGAGAGGCUCUCAAACUGAAGCUAAUGAAUAAGAGUUUAGUAAGAAAAUUAAUAUGUUUUUACUGGCAUUGGGAUGAUGUCAAUGAAAAUGUUGCAGUAGAGGUGAAUCACAAAAUGCAGAUGAGUAAUCAGAAGAAAAGCAGCAUCAUACUCUUAAAAAUUAAGCGGGUAUCUUUGACAACAAUGUAAACACAGUUGGGAAAAGGGGACACAACUGAACCUGGUAAAUAAAUUUAUCUUAAUUGCUUCCAGCAAAUACUCAGGACUAAUGACUGACAAUGGAUGUCAGGUCUUAAGGAAUCGUGAAUUUUCUAAGAUCUGGGCUUCCUCUCACCAUAACAUCCUCCAAAUAAAAGGUUUGGAAAGAAAGCUGUUCUGACAGUGAAAAAUAUCUCAAAGGCAGCCAAAUAUAAAUGUUAAGAUCUAUAUCUAACUGAUAUAUCUGUGUAUCUAUAUAGAUCUAUCUAAGAUGUAUAUCUAACGGACUCCAGGAGAUAUAUCAGUAGAAGGAAUGGCAGAGACAGUCAGAAGAAGGAGGGUUCUAUUCUAAGAUCCCAGUUGGUCUAUACCAGAAAAAAACAGGAUCAUAAUGUGGCUGUUCUGACACGACUGUUUGGUCAUAUUAGUUAAUUAGAAGUUUGGCUGUGACAGGUAUAUAAAAACCACGGAAAGUAUGCCCGGGCUACAAGUCUGCCUGAGAGGGAAGGAAAAUAGCCAGAAGCUGUUACUCCUGCAAAAUAGCUAUUAUCAUUAUUUGUGUUGUAUUACGUGGUGUUCCUAGCCAAAUCAGAUAUGGUCAUAGCUGGAUUUCUCAAGACAUACUCUGUGGUACAGUAGAAUUUGUAAAAAUGCCAGAAGAAUCAUUUUGCAUGCUGGCAUCACAGAUGUCACCAAGUGCAAAGUCAUUCUGGAUGCUAGCUUAGUAAAAAAUCCCAUUGAAUUAAUCUGUAACAAAACACUAAAUCUGCAGUAACUCGUAUUAGCAGUUACAUGAGAAAGAGGGGAGCCAAAAUUAUAUAGGGCAGUAAUCCAUUAUGAACGUUGAGUGCUUUUUUCUUUCCAGGUCAAUUUAGCAAUGUUAUUGUCAAGAAACUAAAGUAGUCUAGCAGAAAAAUGAGUUAGUGUCGUGUACAUAUUUAUGAUAUUGAAUUAUGCAUUGAGAGAUCUGUAAUCUCUUGUAGCAGGCCCGUGUGCUCUCAAGCUGUAAUCGUUCGAUGUGUCCAAGUCACUUUGUGCGAUUCUGCUGUUCGCUGACGGGAUCCUCCAGCGGCACAGCAUGGGUGUUAAUGCCCUCCGCAUCACCUCCCACAGCUCUCCCUUCUUCUGGCAAUGACAAAAACAGUGUGGCAGAAAGCCUUCAUGGCUGGUGGUGUCACGCUAAUAACCUGGGGCUGCUGACAACUUACGAGGCACAGCCAUGUCAUGGCUCUUCUGAUCUGUCUCCGAGGACCGUGUUUGUGCCCUCCUUCCUCCGGAUCCAAGCAGCUCAGAAUACACCAAAGCCACCCCUCCCUCUUGCAUUUUCUGCUGCAGAGCUGGAACCAAGGACCAGAGUUCAGAUGUUUCCAAAAUCUAAGCAAGCUCAGGUUGAGCAGUGUGGUGUGCCUCCUCUCCAAACAACCCAGCUAAUGAAGGCUUUUUGAAUGCUAGAGAAAUGUCUCACCCAGGCACAAACCAGAAGUGAAUGUGUUUCUGUUUAGUAUCAGCCAGAUGCAAAAGGCUUGGCAGGCUACUCCUGAGCAAACCCAGCCGAGUCCGUCACAUCUCAUCAACAUGGAUCACCCUUCAUACAGGGUCAUGAGGAGGAUGCAUGACUAAUGUUCUGGAGACAUGAGGGAAAUCCAAAAGCUUCAAAAAGCAGAGUAAUUCUUCCUCUCACAGUGAGGUUUCUCCCAUCUUCUCUGAAAGAAUCUCCCACUUUGCAGUCCUUGUUUCUUUGGAAAAUCUGUUUGUAUUUAAGAGGAAAAAGUAGCUGAGAUCUUCAUAUGUCUUACUACAGUCAGUGUCCUAGGACAGCAGUGCUUAUGCAAGAUCACUUUUGCCUUCAAUGACCUGUAAAUAACGUAAUGCAGGAUAUACGGUCAGAGAGGUUUCUGGAGUGGAGGGAAGUGGAUCUUUCUGGUGGGUUUGGUUUCUUGAAGGUUAUUGUACUUUCUACUUAAUGUGCCUAGAGUUUGUUUUUUUUAAUAUGAAGGAAAAGUUUUUUUAUUUCACUUGUUCAGAUUAUUUUCCAUAGAACUAGUAUAGGAAGAAAAUGCGAUUUACUGUAUAAUAGAAGUGAGAGAACUGCGACGAAGCAUGAACUUUCUCUCUGGUGAUAGUGAAGGGCUUUCCAAAAAUGGUGGACUAAAAGAAAAUGGCUCUGACAGUGUGCUCCUGUUAGCAUCUAAGAUUAUCAAAACACAAGUGAACUAGGCAAAACAACAUCACCAGAAAAGGAAGCAAAUCUUUUGCUAUCAAACACAGUCCUUUGACUCCUGAAUGUGAAGCUCUUCCUACCAGCAUACCCUGCUCCUUGUUAUAGAAGUAAACAAUUCAUAGAUCUUCCAUCAGGCACCUCCAAAGAGGAAUGAAAACAACAGCUGAAGCUUUCCACUGUGCAUCUUUCCUCUAAGGUUCCUAAUAGUGCCCCUCGUACUGUCAAAUAGCAUCAGCAAGUCUAACCGCAAGCCUCUGUAGACAUGAGUCUGGAGUAUGGUAUGUGUCUUUCAGUCUGUUCCCAGUAGACUCAAAUAUUUAAGUGAAAACUCCUUGAAUAAAAAGGGAUUGUUUUUCCACCCUUAUAUUUAUCAUGAAAAGAAUUUGUAUUGUGCUGCAGGCUAUUCAGUGAGGGCUGAAGUCUUCUUUUUGUGUAAGUACUGUCUAUCAAGUGUAAAUCGAUGCAUUGUGUACUAAGUGUAAAAAUGCUUUUCUGACACUCACGUAAAUUAUGAUUGUUGUUUUGACCCUUGUCUUUCAUUCACCUCCACUCAGUUGCUGACUUUUGUGGUUUCUGAGAUGACAUGUUGAUUUAGGUCCACUGCGAUAGACCAAUCUCAUCUCUUACUUUCCAUCUAAUUUUAUACUCUUAUCCUCUAAUGGUCUUAUUUGCCACCAGUCUGCAUUCUUCUUAUGCAUUACCAAUAAAAUUUAUUCAUUAUGU